rnacentral:sRNA from 1 species
AGUGUAACAAGAAAACCAAUUUCGCUUGUGGAAUCAUUACAAUUUGUUGAUGCUAAAAAUAUUCAUUUUACCCAUCAAGAUAAUUCAAGCAAAUAUCAAAGCGGCGGAGAUAUGCAUUUCAAUCACGCCGUCAGAUUCGACAAUGUUGAAAAUCUAAGUGCAAAUAACAUUAAUUCGCUGAAAGCUGAUGCAGUUACCAACUUGGAUACUAAAAAUACUGGUAAAGUGGACAUUGGUCAAGCUUCCAAUGUAAACAUCGCCUCUGGAACUGUUAGUGUGGCUAAAGCUGGUAGUGUUAACGCUGGAGAAGCUGAAACUAUACAUAUUGAAACUCUAGGCACUCUAAUAAUACAAUAAAAAUAACAUCUAAUUUAAA